rnacentral:misc_RNA from 1 species
GAUGAAGAACGCAGCGAAAUGCGAUAAGUAAUGUGAAUUGCAGAAUUCAGUGAAUCAUCGAAUCUUUGAACGCACAUUGCGCCCGCCAGUAUUCUGGCGGGCAUGCCUGUCCGAGCGUCAUUUCAACCCUCGAACCCCUCCGGGGGUCGGCGUUGGGGAUCGGCCCUUUCACCGGGUGCCGGCCCCUAAAUACAGUGGCGGUCUCGCCGCAGCCUCUCAUGCGCAGUAGUUUGCACACUCGCACCGGGAGCGCGGCGCGUCCACGUCCGUAAAACACCCCAACUUCUGAAAUGUUGACCUCGGAUCAGGUAGGAAUACCCGCUGAACUUAAGCAUAUCAAUAAGCGGAGGA